rnacentral:rRNA from 1 species
GGCGAGUGAAGCGGGAAGAGCUCAAAUUUGAAAUCUUCAAGGUUCUACCUUGACGAAUUGUAGUUUAAAGAAGUGUUUUCUGUUGGAGUUUUGGUAAAAGUUCUUUGGAAUAGGACAUCAUAGAGGGUGAGAAUCCCGUAUUUGACCAUUAUUUCCAGCUUUGUGAUACACUUUCAAAGAGUCGGAUUGUUUGGGAAUGCAGUCCAAAAUGGGUGGUAAAUUUCAUCUAAAGCUAAAUAUUGGCGAGAGACCGAUAGCGAACAAGUACCGUGAGGGAAAGAUGAAAAGAACUUUGAAAAGAGAGUUAAACAGUACGUGAAAUUGUCAAAAGGGAAGCGUUUGACACCAGUGUUGUUUUCUCGAAAAUCAAUUAAAAAAGACUGGAUUUUGUGUUGUAUUGACUUUAUCAGCUUUCUGCACUCUUUUCUUGUCUUUUUUAAUGCACUUUUCGUUUAACAAGUCAACAUCAAUUUCUUUUGUUGUAAAAGGGUCAUUGGAAGGUGGCUUUCUUUUCGGAGAAAGUGUUUAUAGCCUUUGGCCUCUGCAAUCGGAGAGAUUGAGGUCUGCAGCGUAGAUCCUUCGGGGUUAGAUACAUUUGUGCUAAGUUAUAGCCUUUCAUAGACAACUUGUUGACUAUGAUCAGUCAUGUAGCUUACUCGCUUAUGCUAUUUUACCUACGCUUAGGAUGUUGACAAAAUGGUUUUAAACGACCCGUCU